AAAAAAACUGUUAGGUAUAUAUUACGGUAUAUAUAUUAAGGCAGACCUGGGUCGGUCUCAUACUGGAAUGCCUAUUAGCUGCAUGAGGGGAAACAGUAACCAGAAAGUAGAGGACUGGACAACAUCUGGACCAAGGGAUCAAAAUUAACAUCAAUAAGUCCUAGAAUCAGGCGUUUCUUUAAGAGGCCCUACUUCCUCUAAUUGGAUAAUUCUAGAAACCGGUAUUUGAAUCUGAGGUUUAACUAAAGAGAAUACCUUCUACUGAUGUAACAGCAAUGGUAAUUGGUAUAAAGGCAAAAGCAUGUGCAAAGGAGAAAUCACAACAAAG
rnacentral:lncRNA from 10 species